GGGGUUGUAGCUCAGUGGUAGAGCGCUUGCCUAGCAAGCAUGAGGUACUGGGUUCAAUCCUCAACACCACA
rnacentral:tRNA from 1 species